AUAGUUAUCAGAACCGAACCGGUAAUCAACCCGGUCAUAUGACCGGGUCACUGGGUUACUGGUUCAACCGGUGGGUCACUGAUUCACCCGCAUUAUUAUAAACUCUUUUAGUGGUAAGAUCAGGAGUAAGAGUUGCUAAUGAUCAAUGAUGCUUGUUCUUGAGUCAGUUUUUAAACAACACAACAACCACCACCAUUCCCCCAAAGUUCACUGACUUUGUAAUUCAACAAAGUGAACAAACAGCAACUCUAAAAAAAUCUAGCAACAAACAACAACAGCUCUAAAAGACACAGCAACUCUACAACACAGCAACUCUAAAACACGGCAACCAGCAACAAACAACAACACCAAAAAACUAAAUGCAACAUCAACAGCCACCAAAUUCAAGUUCAACAAUAAUUAUAACUAAAGUAAUAACCACCAGAUUCAAUAACAACUCUAAAAAAUCAAAUACAAUAGUAAUAACCAUCAGAUUCAAUAAUAAUACUAACUAAAAUAUGCUCAGCUUCAACAACUCUAAAAUUCAAUUACAACAGUCAACAACAACCAC